CUCCCACAACGCCUGCACACGCAGACGGAGCUGUGGGCUGAAAUGUGGGCAUCCCGCAGAUUCUAACAUGCCGGUCUUAUUUGCAUGGAUGGAUUCAGUCAGCUGGGGAUAGAAGAAUCCAGCUGGGAGGCACAGGCAGAGCGUGGAAGCGCUGGCGGAAAUCCACAGAUCCUAGGGGAGAAGAUGCAAAUCCACAGAUCCUGGAUGGGGAAACGGGAUUCAAACCCACAGUUAUGGAGUGAGAAUUCUCACCUGUGACCUUGAAGUACCUGAAGCACAUUACUGGACUUCAUCAACUGAUACAUAUUGCCCUCUAGUGGUAAGAAGCCGAACAGACAUAACAUAAACGAAGAACCAAGUUUAUGGUUUUAUAGCUGCUAAAUGCAGUGGAUUCUCAGUUCAGCCGCUCCUUCUGUCAGUUGCCAGAAGAUUUACACAGAAAGAUGCUGUUGGUUGACUACAAAUGUUUUAGAGCCUUAAACAAACUGGACUUUCUUCACUUAGACCAUAAAGUAUUGGGGUAGUUAAGAAGAUCUUCAUUACACACUUCUCCUCAUUUUAUUCAUAUAACUUCAUCCUUUUAAUCAGUAUCAUAUCAACCAUCAUUUAUCCAGUCAGUGUUGCAGCAACCCAGAACCUGAGAGGAAAGUCCAUUAAAAUGCACGACGCCCACACAUACACAAUAACACAUUAUGGGUAAGCUAAGGUCAUUGUUUGACCUGAACAGGGUGGCUGAGUUUGUAACACUUAACAGCUGCAUUUGUGGGCCUGCGUGGGCGCAUGUUAUCACAGCCAUAGCAUGGGAAACCCU